GAUGAAGAACGUAGCGAAAUGCGACAAGUAAUGUGAAUUGCAGAAUUCGGUGAAUCAUCGAGUCUUUGAACGCACAUUGCGCCCCCUGGUAUUCCGGGGGGCAUGCCUGUCCGAGCGUCAUUGCUGCCCUCAAGCACGGCUUGUGUGUUGGGCCUCCGUCCUCCUCCCGGGGGACGGGCCCGAAAGGCAGCGGCGGCACCGCGUCCGGUCCUCGAGCGUAUGGGGCUUCGUCACCCGCUCUUGUAGGCCCGGCCGGCGCUUGCCGACACAUCAAUCUUUUUUCCAGGUUGACCUCGGAUCAGGUAGGGAUACCCGCUGAACUUAAGCAUAUCAAUAAGCGGAGGA
rnacentral:misc_RNA from 1 species